GUCUCGCUCCCUUGUUUUCACGGUUGGAGAUGGGGAUGAUGACGGACCAGCCAGCCGAACUCAAAUUAGAUUAGGCAUCAUGCGCCACCUGGUUGCUGAAGCUCGAGAGGACCUUUAUGGACAAAAAAUCCUGUUCAAGAUAGUUCAAGAUAGUUCUGUCUGGAAUUCCAUACCACCUCCAGAGAAUGGAAAAUGUCUUCAAAUUCUGAUGUGCCAGCAGCCUGAAGUGGUCAAACAAUUUGAAACUGGAUGCAGCACAGAAUCCCAUAUUUCAAGAGAAUGCAGAUGUUAGUCACCCCUGUCAAACUUGUUUGUGUGAAUAAUACCAAAUGUGACAUUUACACCAAAUAUGUAAUAAUUGAGCAACGUAUAGACAAUUGCAAAACUCUGUUCUGUUAAUUUUGUGCCAUAUUUAGCAUUUAAAACAAGAUGCUUUCAGUUUUUGCUGGUUUGUUCGGUUUCUUUUAUUCAUGAUUUUUUUCAAGAAGACACCAGUUCGGUGUAUAGUAGUUAUGGUGUUUUAACUGUCAAUGAAGCCAAGAUCACUGUAUGUUGUUGAACUGAUAUAUAUGUUAAACAUUGAAGAUCCAGCUGUCAGUACAGAAAACAUUGAUUGUGCUUUUGAGAACACUGAAUUUUAUUAACAUAAUUUGACGCUGUACAUAUUGCAAGCUUUUUUUCAAAUCUAUAUAAAUUAAUAUAAAACUGUAGCCUUAAUUUGUGCAUAUUAACAUAUGUGAAUAAUUUAAUAGCCUCAUGAUGUCAUUCUGUAUAAAUUAUAUAAUAUAAUCAUUUUAAUUGUCUCAAUGGUUUCAUAUAUAAAUGGUUUUGGAACUGAAAUUUGGUCUUCCUCUAUUGGCUGGUACACUCAACAAAUAUAAAAAAAUAUAUGAAAUAGUGCUUAGUGAGCUCAGCUGACAGUUUUUCAUUGGGUUCUUAUUUGGGUGUGUUCCAACAAUAUCACUGCCUUGAUUACUUUUAUUGUAUAUUCUAUAUAGGUGCUAAAUUUAGAAUAUAUUUUCAGCUUUGUUGAAUGUUGAUUGUAAUUUAUCAUUAUGCCCCCCUUCGAAGAAGAGGGGUAUAUUGCUUUGCACAGGCAUGUCGGUCGGUCGGUCCGUCGGUAGACCAAAGCUUGUCCGAGUGAUAACUGAACAAUUCCUGGAGGUAUGGUCAUCAAACUUCACAUGAAGGUUGGGCCUGACCAGUAGAUGACCCCUAUUGAUUUUGGGGGUCAUCGGGUCAAAGGUCAAGGUCACAGUGACCUUUAAUGGUAAAAUAAUUUUAAAGCUUGUCCGAGUGAUAACUCAACAAUGCCUGCAUCCAUGGCCCUCAAAUUUGACAUGGAGGUUGGGCCUGACCAGUAGAUGACCCCUAUUGUUUUUGGGGGUCAUCAGGUCAAAGGUCAAGGUCACAGUGACCUUGAAUGGUAAAAGGUUGUCCGAGUGAUAACGUGACAAUGCCUGCACCCAUGGCCCUCAAACUUGACUUGGAGGUUGGGCCUGACCAGUAGCUGACCCCUAUUGUUUUUUGGGCUCAAUGAGUCAAAGGUCAAGGUCACAAAGACCUUGAAUGGUAAAAGGUUGUUCGAGUGAUAACUCAACAAUGCCUGCACCCAUGGCCCUCAAACUUGACUUGGAGGUUGGGCCUGACCAGUAGAUGACCCCUAUUGUUUUUGGGGGUCAUUGGCCAAAGAUCAAGGUCACAGUGACCUUGAAUGGUAAAAGGUUGUCCGAUUGAUAACUCAACAAUGCCUGCACUCAUGGCCCUCAAACUUGACUUGGAGAAUUGGCCUGACCAGGAGAUGACCCCUAUGGUUUUUGGGGGUCAUCUGGCCAAAGGUCAAGGUCACAGUGACCUUGAAUGAUAAAAGGUUGUCCGAGUGAUAACUUGACAAUGCCUGCACCCAUGGCCCUCAAACUUGACUUGGAGGUUGGGCCUGGCCAGAAGAUGGUCCCUAUUGAUUUAAGGGGUCAUUGGGUCAAGGUCACAGUGACCUGGAAUGGUAAAAGGUUAUCCGAGUGAUAACUUGACAAUGGCUGCACCCAUGGCCCUCAAACUUGAUAUGGAGGUUGAGUCUGGCCAGGAGAUUGUCCCUAUUAAUUUUAGGGGUCAUUGGGCCAAAGGUCAAGGUCACAGUGACCUUGAAUGAUAAAAGGUUGUCCAAGUGAUAACUCAACAAUGCCUGCACCCAUGGCCCUCAAACUUGACAUGGAGGUUGGGCCUGACCAGUAGAUGACCCCUAUUGAUUUUAGGGGUUAAAGGUCAAGGUCACAGUGACCUUGAAAGCAAACUCGACAAUUCUUGGACCUAUAGUCAUCAAACUUGACAUGGAGGUUGGGCCUGACCAGUAGAUGACCCCUAUUGAUUUUAGGGGUCAAAGGUCAAGGUCACAGUGACCUUGAAAGCAAACUCGACAAUUCUUGGACCUAUGGUCAUCAAACUUGACAUGAAGGUUGGGCCUGCCCAGUAGAUGACCCUUAUCGACUUUGGGGGUCAUCAGGCCAAGGUCAAUGUCACAGUAACCUUUAACGCAAAAAAGUUAACAAAUCUCGCCCCACUGAUAUCUCAACAAUGCCUGAACCUAUGAUCAUUAAACUUGACAUGGAUGUUAAGCCUGACCAGUAGAUCACCCUUAUUGAUUUUAGGAUUCAUAGAGCCAAAGGUCAAGGUCACAGUAAUCUUGAAUGGUAAAAGGUUGUCCGAGUGAUAACUCAACAAUGCCUGAACAUAUGGCCUUCAAACUUGACUUGGAGUUGCAUCUGACUUGUAGAUGACCCCUUAUGAUUUAAGGGGUCAUCGGGUCAAAGGUCAAGGUCACAGUGACCUUGAACGAAAAAAACUUGUCUUGUGAUAACUUGACAAUGCCUGCACCCAUGGCCCUCAAACUUGACAUUUAGGUUUCUGGUGACCAGCUGAUGACUCUGGAUUUUGAGUUCAUAGAGUCAAAGGUCAUGACGGUCAUAACACACUUUAUCCUCACACUUUAAUGGUCAUAAUCUUCAUUCAAUUGUCCAUAUAAUCCUGACAACAUGGCGCUCAGGGGGGGCAUAAUGUUUGACAAACAUCUCUUGUUUCUUUUUAGAUCACCCUGUGGGUUAAACAUUAUGUGAGGGUUAGAAGUCAUUUGUUUGUAAUUACACCUUGAUAAGUUUAAUCUUUAAUACACUGGGUCUUGAAAGUCCCAUGAUAUGAACAAUUGGUUUUGACUAUGUUCAUGCUUCAUUUAGAAUAAACCUCAUAAGAGGUCAUAACAGAUUGGGCCUUUAAAAGUUAGAAAAUUUUAACAUUUAUUUAUUCAUACAAUUUUAUUUCCCACCAGAUGUAAAAAACAACAACCUUUUUAUCAAAAAGCAAGACAAAAAGGUCACUGUUGGUGAUCUGUAAAAAAAUACAUGUAUUGCUGCAUAUUUAACUGUCACAGGUCUUUUGGUGUAUACAUGAUUUUAGCAAAGCUGUUUACAAUAUUAAUUAAUUGUAAUUUAGAUAAUUUUGAUCAUUAGACAUGAUGUUUGUCAGAUUUGUCAUUGCAAACACAAAUUAUUUUAAAAUUUAUUGAAAGCAUCGUUUAGAUAAUUCUGUAAUUAAAGCAGAAUUGUAUUUGCCCUUAAAAUCUAAACAACACAUUAGUUCAUAAUUAACAUUUUGCAACAUUUUGGGUGGGGGUUUGGUGUAUGUUUUUGUAACAAACAAAUAAGAAUAUAUUCUCUAUUCUCACUGAGAUAUUUUGCAGACAAUUUUCCAGAGCUGCUUGGCUACAUAUUGUUCAUAUACAAUCAUAAUUAUUAGUAAUUGAUUAAAUGUUUUGCCAUUUUUACCAUCAUAUUUAAAUAGAUUUUUGCCCAUUCAAUUCUAGUUAAAAUUAUAAUUACCCCUGCUUGUUAUAUACUUUAGUGCAACAUUAUUGAUAUGUGAUCAUUUUUAGAUUGACUAUUCGAAGAAUAAGGACAGCUAUCUUAGUCACCCGAGUGUCAGCGUCAGCAUUACCACUUAUGUUAAAGUUUGCGUACCACCUCAAAUAUUUUCAAAGUCCAUUGACAUACUGUUUUGAAACUUCGCACGUUUGUUAUCCCCCGCCUAUGAAAUAGGGAGGGGGAUAUUGAAAUGGCGUUGUCCUUCCAUCCGUCCGUCACCUGCGUUUUCUCAGUAACUAGCCGGUAGAAUUUCAUGAAACUUAAAAUAAAUAUGAACCAUUAUACUGGAAUGAUGCCCGUCCAAAAAAAUUUGAUUGGUCAAUUGUCCUUGGAGUUAUUGCCCUUGAUUUUUUUUUAAAAAUGCACAUUCACGGCCAUUUCUCAGUCACUAGCUGGCAGAAUUUCAUGAAACUUAAAAUAAAUAUGAAUUACUAUACUGGGAUGAUGCCUGUUCAUUUUUUUUUUGGAUUGGUCAAUUGUACUUGGAGUUAUUGCCCUUGAUUUUUUUAAAAACUCUCAUUUACAGCCAUUUCUCAGUAACUAGUUGGUAGAAAUUCUUGAAACUUGAAAUAAAUAUGAACCAACAUACUGCGAUGAUGCCUGUUUAUUUAUAUUUUGGAUUGUGUAAUUUCUAUAUGAGUUAUUUGCCCUUGAUUUAUUAAAAGAUCCAUGUUUGCAGCCUUUUCUAUGCAACUAGCUGGUAGAAUUUCAUGACACUUGGAAUAAAUAAGAACCAACAUACUGUGAUGAUGCCUGUCUAUUUUUCUUUUGGAUUGGUCAAUUUUCCUUAGAGUUAUUGCCCUUGAUUUAUUAAAAAAUCAUUGUUUGGAGCCGUUUCUCAGUAACUAGCUGCUAGAAUUUAAUGAAACUUGAAUGUUAUAUGAACCAACAUUCUGCAAUGAACUUGUUUGGUGAAUUUCUACGGCUACAUUUUUAUCUCAACUAUUGAGUACUAUUUUGCAAUGAUUGAUGUUUCUGAGUGAGCAGUUUCGGAAAAGACAUUUUUAUUUAAUCAUCCCUCUGAUUUAUUUCGUUAAAAAAAAUUAUCAUAAAGUUGUCCCGGUCGAUAUUUUAUAAUUUGGCUCGGAAAGGGAUAAACCAAUGUGCUUAUCUUAUUCUUUCUGAGAUUUUUUUUAACCUUCAAGCACAAACAAGCCAUCGUUGGCGGGGGAUAUCUUUUCACUGAAAAUGCUUGUUCACCAUCAUGCUCCCAACCUGUACACAGGAGGUCACUGUAUCGAGCAUUUUGACAGAAUUAUGCCCCUUUUUUACUUAGACUUUACGUGUAAGUUUGCGUACCAACUCAAAUAUUUUCAAAGUCCAUUGACAUCUGGCUUUGAACUUUGCACGCUUGUUCACCAUUAUGCCCAAAACCUGUACACAGGAGGAGGUAACUCUAUCGAGCAUUUGACACAAAAUUAUGCCCCUUUUUCAACUUACAAUUUAUGUUAAAGUUUGCGUACCACCUCAAAUAUUUUCCCAUUCAAUUUAUGUAAAUAUCUCAGCACAUCAUGUAUUGCAUUGAAAUCUAAUAUAACAGUGAUCAAUGCAUGUUUCUCCAAAACUUUUCAAUCCAUACACCGAAAAGCGGCGGAAUAGUCCAGCGCGCUGUCUCUGUGACAGCUCUUGUUUUUUUGUUGUUGUUUUUUGUAACAUAUUCCUCAAAUGCGUUUGUGUACUUGAUCUCAAAUGCAUAGUAGCUUUAUUUAAGUUAAUUAAGAAAAAUAACUCUAAACUUCACAUAAAAUAUAAACUAAUGCAUUAUAUAUAAUGUAUACACUAUUAUUGAAGAUUGUUGCGUAUACACAAAAUAA